GCCGUUGUAGCUCAGCUGGUAGAGCACGACCAUGGUAAGGUCGGGGUCACCGGUUCAAUCCCGGUCAACGGCUCCA
rnacentral:tRNA from 1 species